GAUGAACGCUAGCGGCAGGCUUAACACAUGCAAGUCGAGGGGCAGCGCGAUGUAGCAAUACAUUGGCGGCGACCGGCGCACGGGUGCGUAACACGUAUGGAAUCUGCCCUGUACUGGGGAAUAGCCCGGAGAAAUCCGGAUUAAUGCCCCAUAACAGACGAAGUGGCAUCACUUUGUCUUGAAAGCUCCGGCGGUACAGGAUGACCAUGCGCACGAUUAGCUAGUUGGUGAGGUAACGGCUCACCAAGGCUACGAUCGUUAGGGGGCCUGAGAGGGUUAUCCCCCACACUGGUACUGAGACACGGACCAGACUCCUACGGGAGGCAGCAGUGAGGAAUAUUGCGCAAUGGAGGCAACUCUGACGCAGCCAUGCCGCGUGCAGGAAGAAGGCGCUACGCGUUGUAAACUGCUUUUACCCGGGAAGAAACCCCUCUACGUGUGGAGGGUUGACGGUACCGGAGGAAUAAGCACCGGCUAACUUCGUGCCAGCAG
rnacentral:rRNA from 1 species